rnacentral:tRNA from 1 species
UCCCUGGUGGUCCAGUGGUUAAGACUCUGUGCUUCCAAUGUCGGGGGCAUGGGUUCAAUCCCUGUUUGGGGAA